rnacentral:rRNA from 1 species
AGUGAACGCUGGCGGUAGGCCUAACACAUGCAAGUCGAACGGCAGCACAGUAAGAGCUUGCUCUUACGGGUGGCGAGUGGCGGGCGUGUGAGGAGUACAUCGGAAUCUACUUUUUCGUGGGGCGUAAGGUAGGGAAACUUACGCUAAUACCGCAUACGACCUACGGGUGAAAGCAGGGGGUCUUCGGACCUUGCGCGAUUGAAUGAGCCGAUGUCGGAUUAGCUAGUUGGCGGGGUAAAGGCCCACCAAGGCGACGAGCCGUAGCUGGUCUGAGAGGAUGAUCAGCCACACUGGAACAGAGACACGGUCCAGACGCCUACGGGAGGCAGCAGUGGGGAAUAUUGGACAAUGGGCGCAAGCCUGAUCCAGCCAUACCGCGUGGGUGAAGAAGGCCUUCGGGUUGUAAAGUCCUUUUGUUGGGACAGAAAAGCAGAAGGUUAAUACCCCGCUGUUCUGACGGUACCCAAAGAAUAAGCACCGGCUAACUUCGUG